ACUCCCGGUGCCGAGCCGGCCCCAGCUACUGAGCAUGCUCAGCGCAGCAAAUGGAGCUUAAUGUGACUUUUCUACUCUGAUGGUGGUAGACUACUUGAGGACAGCAGAGGAGAGGGAAUGCAUGCUCCCAGACAGGAUGCACAAGUAACUUUAAGGCAUUAGGGUCAUUGGCCUCUCUUGGAAGUGAACACGCCAAAGGAGCCACAAGGACACUGUCCACUGAUUACAAACCAGGCAACUUGCCAACUGCCCCCCUAGGCUGAUUUGACUGCACCCACGUUCCUUUAUUUUUUACCUUCCUGGGACACGCAAAUAAGUUGGGGAAUGGAGGUCCAUCUUUUCCCUGAAGCUGAAGAAAGAAGAAGGCUACCACGAUCAGAUUGUACAUCAAAAUUGUAUGUUAGAACCACUGACCUUGCAAUCUCUCCCGCCAGACUUUCAUGAGUUUAGCAUCCAGUCAGCAUUAAAAAGCCAUCCCUGGGAGAGAAGAAAGGUAAAAGGUUGCUAAACUCUGUCUUUCUUCAAACUGAUUUUAGAACCUUCCAUUACCCCAGAGGUUUCUGAUGAUCCUUAUAAUAUCCAUUUAUACUCCCUCUGGCUUCCUGUCUCCCUUUUGCUGUGUGUUCUCAUCUAAAUAAUCUGGGUCAUUAAUAAAUUAAAGGAAACAUGGAUUAGAGAAAAGUGAGAAAUAAUCAGCUUCGAGGUCACAGACAAAUAUUUAUGAAUUAAAGUUUACCUAAGAAUAAAUAUGUAUUUU